CUCUAUCUAUUUGAUGUCGCGGCAAGGACUUGGGAGAAUGCCAGGCAAUUUUGCGAGGACGAAAGAGCCACUCUGGUUUGUGUUGAAAAUGAACGUGAAGAGAAAUACCUUGAAGAAGAAACCCACAAUGCACAUCAAGACUCCUGGAUUGGGCUCUAUUAUGUAGGAAGAACACAAUGGAACUGGGUUAAUGGCAUGACGUUUGAAGAUAAGUUCUGGAGACCAACUUACCCAAAUAGGUUAGAAGUGAACCACUGUGUCUUCUUGAAAACACACUGUUCUACCCCAAGACUGUGCUGGGAAAAUACUCCUUGCGGGGAGCUAAAGCGAAGCAUAUGCAAGAAGAAACCGGAUAAAAGGUGGUAUUUGUGAACGCAAUUAGAUUCUGUGAUGUCUGGAAAAGAAAAACAAAAACAAAAGUAAGAAAAGUCAGCUUAACAUCACCAGGUUUCUGAGAGCUACGUGCACCAACCCCGUCAUCCAUUCUGCUUCCUCAGUGCUGGCAAAAGAAAUCUUCAUUUUGCAAUACCAAAGAUUUG
rnacentral:lncRNA from 1 species